rnacentral:rRNA from 1 species
GGGUUGUGAGGUUAAGCGACUAAGCGUACACGGUGGAUGCCCUGGCAGUCAGAGGCGAUGAAGGACGUGCUAAUCUGCGAUAAGCGUCGGUAAGGUGAUAUGAACCGUUAUAACCGGCGAUUUCCGAAUGGGGAAACCCAGUGUGAUUCGUCACACUAUCAUUAACUGAAUCCAUAGGUUAAUGAGGCGAACCGGGGGAACUGAAACAUCUAAGUACCCCGAGGAAAAGAAAUCAACCGAGAUUCCCCCAGUAGCGGCGAGCGAACGGGGAGCAGCCCAGAGCCUGAAUCAGUAUGUGUGUUAGUGGAAGCGUCUGGAAAGGCGCGCGAUACAGGGUGACAGCCCCGUACACAAAAAUGCACAUGCUGUGAGCUCGAUGAGUAGGGCGGGACACGUGGUAUCCUGUCUGAAUAUGGGGGGACCAUCCUCCAAGGCUAAAUACUCCUGACUGACCGAUAGUGAACCAGUACCGUGAGGGAAAGGCGAAAAGAACCCCGGCGAGGGGAGUGAAAAAGAACCUGAAACCGUGUACGUACAAGCAGUGGGAGCACAGAGCAAUCUGUGUGACUGCGUACCUUUUGUAUAAUGGGUCAGCGACUUAUAUUCUGUAGCAAGGUUAACCGAAUAGGGGAGCCGAAGGGAAACCGAGUCUUAACUGGGCGUUAAGUUGCAGGGUAUAGACCCGAAACCCGGUGAUCUAGCCAUGGGCAGGUUGAAGGUUGGGUAACACUAACUGGAGGACCGAACCGACUAAUGUUGAAAAAUUAGCGGAUGACUUGUGGCUGGGGGUGAAAGGCCAAUCAAACCGGGAGAUAGCUGGUUCUCCCCGAAAGCUAUUUAGGUAGCGCCUCGUGAAUUCAUCUCCGGGGGUAGAGCACUGUUUCGGCAAGGGGGUCAUCCCGACUUACCAACCCGAUGCAAACUGCGAAUACCGGAGAAUGUUAUCACGGGAGACACACGGCGGGUGCUAACGUCCGUCGUGAAGAGGGAAACAACCCAGACCGCCAGCUAAGGUCCCAAAGUCAUGGUUAAGUGGGAAACGAUGUGGGAAGGCCCAGACAGCCAGGAUGUUGGCUUAGAAGCAGCCAUCAUUUAAAGAAAGCGUAAUAGCUCACUGGUCGAGUCGGCCUGCGCGGAAGAUGUAACGGGGCUAAACCAUGCACCGAAGCUGCGGCAGCGACGCUUAUGCGUUGUUGGGUAGGGGAGCGUUCUGUAAGCCUGCGAAGGUGUGCUGUGAGGCAUGCUGGAGGUAUCAGAAGUGCGAAUGCUGACAUAAGUAACGAUAAAGCGGGUGAAAAGCCCGCUCGCCGGAAGACCAAGGGUUCCUGUCCAACGUUAAUCGGGGCAGGGUGAGUCGACCCCUAAGGCGAGGCCGAAAGGCGUAGUCGAUGGGAAACAGGUUAAUAUUCCUGUACUUGGUGUUACUGCGAAGGGGGGACGGAGAAGGCUAUGUUGGCCGGGCGACGGUUGUCCCGGUUUAAGCGUGUAGGCUGGUUUUCCAGGCAAAUCCGGAAAAUCAAGGCUGAGGCGUGAUGACGAGGCACUACGGUGCUGAAGCAACAAAUGCCCUGCUUCCAGGAAAAGCCUCUAAGCAUCAGGUAACAUCAAAUCGUACCCCAAACCGACACAGGUGGUCAGGUAGAGAAUACCAAGGCGCUUGAGAGAACUCGGGUGAAGGAACUAGGCAAAAUGGUGCCGUAACUUCGGGAGAAGGCACGCUGAUAUGUAGGUGAAGUCCCUCGCGGAUGGAGCUGAAAUCAGUCGAAGAUACCAGCUGGCUGCAACUGUUUAUUAAAAACACAGCACUGUGCAAACACGAAAGUGGACGUAUACGGUGUGACGCCUGCCCGGUGCCGGAAGGUUAAUUGAUGGGGUUAGCGCAAGCGAAGCUCUUGAUCGAAGCCCCGGUAAACGGCGGCCGUAACUAUAACGGUCCUAAGGUAGCGAAAUUCCUUGUCGGGUAAGUUCCGACCUGCACGAAUGGCGUAAUGAUGGCCAGGCUGUCUCCACCCGAGACUCAGUGAAAUUGAACUCGCUGUGAAGAUGCAGUGUACCCGCGGCAAGACGGAAAGACCCCGUGAACCUUUACUAUAGCUUGACACUGAACAUUGAGCCUUGAUGUGUAGGAUAGGUGGGAGGCUUUGAAGUGUGGACGCCAGUCUGCAUGGAGCCGACCUUGAAAUACCACCCUUUAAUGUUUGAUGUUCUAACGUUGACCCGUAAUCCGGGUUGCGGACAGUGUCUGGUGGGUAGUUUGACUGGGGCGGUCUCCUCCUAAAGAGUAACGGAGGAGCACGAAGGUUGGCUAAUCCUGGUCGGACAUCAGGAGGUUAGUGCAAUGGCAUAAGCCAGCUUGACUGCGAGCGUGACGGCGCGAGCAGGUGCGAAAGCAGGUCAUAGUGAUCCGGUGGUUCUGAAUGGAAGGGCCAUCGCUCAACGGAUAAAAGGUACUCCGGGGAUAACAGGCUGAUACCGCCCAAGAGUUCAUAUCGACGGCGGUGUUUGGCACCUCGAUGUCGGCUCAUCACAUCCUGGGGCUGAAGUAGGUCCCAAGGGUAUGGCUGUUCGCCAUUUAAAGUGGUACGCGAGCUGGGUUUAGAACGUCGUGAGACAGUUCGGUCCCUAUCUGCCGUGGGCGCUGGAGAACUGAGGGGGGCUGCUCCUAGUACGAGAGGACCGGAGUGGACGCAUCACUGGUGUUCGGGUUGUCAUGCCAAUGGCACUGCCCGGUAGCUAAAUGCGGAAGAGAUAAGUGCUGAAAGCAUCUAAGCACGAAACUUGCCCCGAGAUGAGUUCUCCCUGACUCCUUGAGAGUCCUGAAGGAACGUUGAAGACGACGACGUUGAUAGGCCGGGUGUGUAAGCGCAGCGAUGCGUUGAGCUAACCGGUACUAAUGAACCGUGAGGCUUAACCUUACAACGCCGAAGCUGUU